rnacentral:lncRNA from 1 species
AAACAGAUGGUAUGACCAAGUGGGAGAGAGACUCUGUCUGCAAAACUGGGAGAGCUUCACUCUGACUGGGGGUGGAAGAGGAAUGAACAAGUCCACCCCAGCGUAAAAAUAAGAUGAAAAUAUAAAAGAAUGUCAGUGUUGAAGGUUACUCCUUUUGAUUUUGCCAAUAUCCCGGAACCAUGUGAGCACAUGAACAUUCCAAAGAAGAAGAUACCUCCAGGUUCUUCAGAUGAGUCUCACUCUGUUGCCCAGGCUGGAAUACACUGGCACCGUCUCAGCUCACUGCAACCUCCGACUCCCUGGUUCAAGCGAUUCUCCUGC